rnacentral:rRNA from 1 species
AACGAACGCUGGCGGCGCGCCUAAUACAUGCAAGUCGAGCGAGAAGACGUAGCAAUACGUUUGUAAAGCGGCGAACGGGUGAGGAAUACAUGGGUAACCUACCCUAGAGUGGGGAAUAACUAGCCGAAAGGUUAGCUAAUACCGCGUACGCUCCUUGGACUUCGGUUCAGGGAGGAAAGCGAUACCGAGGGUAUCGCGCUCUUGGAUGGGCUCAUGUCCUAUCAGCUUGUGGUGAGGUAACGGCUCACCAAGGCUUCGACGGGUAGCUGGUCUGAGAGGACGAUCAGCCACACUGGCACUGCGACACGGGCCAGACUCCUACGGGAGGCAGCAGUAAGGAAUAUUGCGCAAUGGGCGAAAGCCUGACGCAGCGACGCCGCGUGGGGGAUGAAGGCC